CUGUUUGCCCCAGCAGCUGUUGAUGGAGUGCACCUGUUUCCCACAGCCAAGUAGAAGCUGUUGAGCAAGGAGUAGUGAAUGCUCUUUCAUCUGAGUGCCGCUAUGGAUGGAGCUGCACGGAGUCCAGGAUAAGUGAUUGCACCUGUGAGAAGACAUCUAUCUCAGCACACCUGAAUUCUCUUUCCACGAUUCCUUGACUGAAAUAACAAUGAGAAUGAGAUUGGUUCCAUGUGAGAUUGCUGCAUGUUUUCCUAAGGCCCAAGCUCCUGGAGUCAGUGCAGGACCAACUCUGCCUGUGUCUGUCUUCAUAAAAACAUCCAGUGAGAGAGCUGCCAGCACCUUUCCUAGGGAAUUGGUUCUCGUGCUUUGCUACUUGAAUUCAGGAAGCUUCUAUUAGUGACCAGUCUGUCUCUUCCAUUCUGUAGCAGGAGCCUAUUACUUCUUGGACUCUUUCACUUGUACUUAGACUGCAAAUUCAUCUUUGGAGAUGGGAGAUAUUUGUUUCCUUGUAUUGUUUUGCUUUGCUGUGUAAGAAAAGUAGUUGAGUGCUGUAGGACUCAGUAGUUUACACAUUCAUACAAAACAGGGUAUGACUACGGAACGUGCUUACAUGAUGGUGGGUCAGAUAUCUUACAAGAAAAAGUCCCAAAUCCUUUAAGAAGUUUUCCUGCUCUGAAAAUGUGAAGGGAAGCCAUAAUGCAAAGUGAGAUACUAUUGUGGCAAAGCUCAUUACUCUGUUGCCUGCAGAGUGUGACACAGCUCUGCCUUUAUCCUAAUUGAUUGCAUGGCUGCCCUUAUUUGUAAACUAUGUAUCGGGGGGAUCUUGUUUGCUUUUUUCUUUUUUUUUCCCUUGUGGGGGAGGGUUGUUUUGCUUUGUUUUGUUUUUUUUGCUUAUCAAUAUUCAGCACAAUUCAGCACUAUGGUGGUAUGCCUGCCUGGCUGCCUAGUUCUCAGGAAGUAGCUCCUGCGUCUCAGGUAACCCGAGAACAUUAACACUGGAUAUGUCAUGUCUUGUAAAAAUACAGUGCAGCAUACUUUCCAUGGGACAGAUGGAAUAAAGUCUGUUCAUGCUGUUGUAUUUAGCUGUUACGCAGAAGUCUGUGACCCUAUAGAAAAAGUUUGUAAUAACCCGAACAGCUGAUGAUGUGCUGUGGAUAAACACAAUUUGUGUAUUCUGAGCCACAAGUAUGGAAAUGGACUGUGCAUAUUUCCUAAAUGCAAACUGGGAUAUUUGUCCUACUGACCAUGCACACACAGCUUUUUGUGUUCCUCGAGGCUUUACUACUUAAAAGUAAAGAGAGAAAGGAUAAGCACUUAAUUUGCCAAGUGAAGCGAUCAUGCUGGGUCCAUACUCCUGCUGAAGGAUGCCCUUUAUGAACUAGUUUCUAUUAUAGGAAAGGAGAAGCAAAAGUCUUACUGAACAAGCUCCUGCUUCUCUGCUCUCUGAUAAGGAACAGUUGAGACACACAACUCAAACUUAGGGUUUUGUUCCCUCUCUCACAGGGGUGAAAGGUUCUCCCAUACACAGAAUCCUUUUGUGGGAUGGUAGAAGCAAGUUUAGGAAACCUAACGUAAGAAAUGGAAAGCCUACAUUGUGCAGCAUGAUGAUACCAACCUCUCCAUGAACUCAGAUGUGUGUAACUGAACUAGCACUGAUCAAACUAAGCUUUCAGGUUUGAUCCUUAGCCAUGAAAUACCCAAAUAAAAUAACUGCGAUAAUAUUUCAGGAUUUCUUAUUGCUUAGCCAGAGGAAAAGAUUUGAAAGGUUUUAAACUCUCACUCCAGCUAGAAGAAAAAUAUCUAGAAAAUGAACUAGAAACUUCAGAUUUUGAAACCCCAUGAGGGACUAUGCAAUGCACUUCAGUGUAAAGACAAAGUCCUCUUAUCUCAGGGGAAUACAGAACUGGAUGCAUUUCCUGAGUAUUCAAGUCUGGUCUCUUCUUAUUGUAUACAGCACUGUUCAUAAACAGAUCAAACUCAGUUUUAAAAAUAAAAGGAUGAUGAGAUGUCUUUGACU
rnacentral:lncRNA from 7 species